GAAGAAAAUGCAAACACUUAUAUAAUGCUCCCUAUUGUUACAGUUUUUCUCAAUCGAUUUGGUACAUUUCUCCAAACUCAGGUAACAGCUCUCAAAACAGUUAACACAGUGAUCAGUACACUUUGUAACUGUCCUAAACAGAUAGUAAAUUCUCCUUCAUUUCAUACAAAUCACAAAUCAAAAGCAUAAUUUUCUCAAAACACUGUGCACAAAAAUCCCAAAUUUUAUCACAGCAGUUCAUACAGCCAACCAAAUCUUUAAUAUAUCAGGAAAAACAUUUGUAACUUUUUCUUUGUUCUUCACAAAGAUCACAAGCAUUUUUGUACCAUUUUCAAAACACAACAAACAAAACUCUGUGAAUUGUAAAAUAGUCAGUUGCACACCUUGUGUCUUCAAUAAACGCCAAAUUGUUAUCUGAUGAGUUAGUAAUCCACUCAACACAGAAAAAAGCCAAUUUCCUAAUUGUUCACACAGCUGUCUUACGUAAUUACAACAACUACAAAAGGGGAAGAGAAGAAAAACAAAGAAGACAAAUGAGGAGAUACAGUAAGACAAAAAAAAGAAGUAUGAGCAGUGGAAACAGAAGAGGUUUAAGAGUGAGAGGUGGUGGCCAGGGUAGAGGGAGAAGAGGAAGAGGAGAAAGAGAAAGAAGAGCUGAAGAUGUAGGAGGAAGAGUGAGAAGAGAUUGAAGAGAUGGAUAGAUUGGAGGGCAAUGGUAUAGUGGAAAGAGAAAAUAUAAGAAGGGGUGGACAGGGAUGAAGAGGAGGCCAAGGUGUAAGAGGAGGGAGGAGAGGUAGAAUGAGGGUAGGGUACAUGCGUGUUUCAAAUGAAAUCAGAGCCACACUUAUUGACCAUGUCAUAAAUCAUGGUCUCUCACCGAGAGAAACUGGUCAGAGUUCAGCCCAAUAUAAACCGAUCCACAGUGGCUUCAAUUAUCCGUACAUUUCAGAGGGAAAACUGUUGAACAAGAGCAUGCCAUUGUUGACAUGGUGGUCAAGAACAACACCCUCCGCCUCAAAGAAAUUCAGCAAAGAAUAACACAGGACAAUCAACUGUUCCACAAUAUCCACCAAUGCAGUCUCUCCACAAUUGACCGUGUUCUAAGAAAUGCUAUCCGAAUGAAGCAAGUAUACAAAGUGCCCUUUGAGAGGAACUCCGUUAGAGUGAAGGAGUUGCGAUUCCAGUUUGUUCAAAGAAUCUUGGAGUUGGAUAGCAGUGCAACUCAUUAUGAGUACCUGUAUAUUGAUGAAGCAGGCUUCAAUCUUCAAAAAAAAGGAGAAGAGGGAGAAAUGUGAUUGGACAUCGUGCUACAGUCAAUGUCCCUGGACAACGAGGAGGCAACAUCACUCUCUGUGCAGCAAUUUCUACAACUGGUGUUGUGGCACACAAUGCUGUCUUGGGACCAUACAACACAGCAA